rnacentral:rRNA from 1 species
CAACUUUUAACAACGGAUCUCUUGGUAUCUC